GUGAGAACUAUAUAAAUAUAGUUCCAAGUGGGUACGGCCACCUAAGGGAAGAGCUCGACCCACCAGGUCUAAAGGAGGCACUGAAACAUGUUAGUCCAACAAAUAAUCAUAAUAAUUUAUGCAGAUAUUAAAACAUGUAUGCCUCACGAAAUGCAAUAUGCAAUCCCUGUAAUCAUGCAAGUAGGUUACUUUAACGCUACUUAUGUUCUUAAUCAUUAUUUACUCUUUGCCAUUUAAUGUUCACUUUUAGCUCUUAGCUAUUCUUUACUUGUACCCUUUCUUUACUCUUCCGCUACUCUUUACUCUUUACACUCUGUUGCACUUUCUAACUGGCCAUUCUUUCCUAAGGUUUCUCUUACCUUAGUUCUCUAUGCCACCCGACUCGGUCUUGAGUCAAUCAAUCGCGGAUAGUCCGCGCACUGUCUAGCUUGAGGUGAAGGAACUCUCACAUGCACCUCAGCUGGCAACAGCUCACCGUACUCCUGUCCUAGCCGUCUGGCGGCGAACGGAUCGUACCUCACCCAACAACGGCCUAGGUCUAUGACUUAGCCACCCGGCGGCGAAAUCGUCGCACACGCCACGACAGUGGUUCAGUAAACAGGCGGUAGGAUCCACAAACUGGCUAACCAUCCAGCGGCGAAAUCGUCGCACACGCCACGACAAUGGUUCUCUAGCCCCUGGGCGGCGAAAUCGUCGCACACACCCGACACCACUUUGGGUGUAUCCAUUUAGCCUUGGGAUUCCGGAAUCCAUAUCACAUUAACCAAGGGUUUACUCUUUUACCCUAUGUCGACGACCUUUCUAGGUCUAAACCAAUCAUUUUUGUGUGGUCUUUCUACCACUAUAAUCCAUAACUUAGUCCAACUUUACUAAGUGUCACUAUAUGUCAUAACCUAGGUUCAUUUACACUAGGUUCAUUCCAUGUCCAACCUAUAUCUAAUAACACUAGGUUCAUGCCACUCGAUCUAUUUAUUAUCCUAGUUAUCCACGUCUAGGAUUAUAGUUUACACGUUUCAUGUUCAAUUUACAUGACUUUAGUCUAUGUAUCAACAUUCAUAUAUCAUUUAUCAUUCAUAUGUUCAUAUACCGACAUUCCUAUACAUUUAGCAUGAACUACAAUGCAUUCGUAUGCGUCUAGUAUGUUCGUCAUAUGACAAUCAUCAUAUAUCAUCUAGCAUGAGAUUCACAUUCAUAAGUAUUUAUUCAUAUGUCUCUAGCAUUCACUUUCAUACAUGUUUAAUCUUAUGCAACUAGCAUUCAUAUUCAUAUGUCGAUUAUCAUAAUAUGUCAACAAUCAUAUAUGCUCUAACAUCUAUGUAUUAUCCUACAUCUAGUUGUCCCCAUAUCUAGGUAUUAUUGCUUCACAAUCGCAUUGUAAUUGUCGGAUUUCUAAUCAAUUAGAGUUAUGACCCCAUAUUCUGCUUGUAUGAUUCUAACAGGGCUCACAUUAUGUUUCAUAAUCAUUGCCAUCAUCGGGUAUUAUCCACACAGAUAUUAGACAUGCAUAUUCUAAGGUAGAUAACAAUGAUUGAUAGCAAUACGAUUUAAGCCUUUCAUAUUAUUACUCAGCAAUCUACCAACUAUACAUGUAUCGUCAAAAUAAUUAUACUUUACUUUGGCAUGGAAGUGACGCUAAUUCACUUCGGUAAAAACACAAACGCCAUCUUUACUCGUCAUAACGGAAUGCGAGAAUCCACUUCCCGCACUUUCCCAAGAAUCACGAACUCCACACCGCGAUAAUUGAAGACAAAAACGUCUUUGGCGAUAUCUUUGCGAGGCUCGACGAGUUGCCGAACCGACUCGCGCAAACGCUUCGCUUUAACCGCUCAUUAGGUUGUAAUGCGAUCUCAUUUCCAAGUUAGGGCCUUGCAAUCCUCGCAAAGUGCAUUAUCCGAUGGUUAAAGCUGCGUCAUAUAAAUGUUACAAUACAAACUCUAUAAAAUAUAUAGAGUAAUUUGCAUUUCGCUAACCAAAACUUCAACUAAGUACUUACAUCAAGAAGACUAAACUCUGUCAUUACUAAUUCUAUAGUUUCUCACCCUUUUUACAACUUGACAUAUCACUGAGGCUUAGCCAUAUUAUAUCAUCAACCUAUAGCUUUAAUAGGUGUAAUCUAUACAUACCGCACUCUAAAAUUGAACCACGUCAUCCAUGGAAUUUAAACCUCUUUAUACAAGCGAUUAACAUCCGCCUGUCAGAAAUUAAAGCUAAUUUACCCCAGAUUUGCCUGCUUUAACAUACAAUUCACAAGACACUAUUCAUACAUAUAUGUAUGUGUAAGCUUCGCAUCAGUUUUCUAAAUCUUUUUUCAUGGUUUAAGGGUUCGCACAUGCUCUAAAUCUGCAGCUUAAAGAAACUUCUUGGAAUGUAAAGUAGGUAACCUCAAACCCAGGAAUUAACUUCACCAUACUCAGUUUUCACUUCUAAACAACAAUUUACAAGUAUACAAUCAAUAGCAUGUUCCCCUGAAAUUCCCUUAGGCCAUUCAAUGGUAUUGAGGUUCUCUAAUACUUAAAACGCUUAAUUUUAGAAUCCUUGGAAGGUAACUACACAAUCUAAACAGAAAAACAUCACUCUUGUUCAGAAAUUUCACUAAUUUAUCUCUGCUCCAUUCCUAUCAUAACUCACACUCAAUGGGUUCAUAGUGCAAUUUUCAGGUUUCUACACCCUCGCAACGUCAGCAUACAGUUCAAAAUCCUACAUCUUCUAAUGUAGUAAAUGAACCAUUUCAUAACCCAAUCAGCUUACUUAAUUCGAUUGCUCCAACACCAAAAAAAACGCUCUACCAAGUCCUUUCUUCUAGCUCACACCAAGCAAAGCUGCACUUCAUUUCUUCUUAGCUCAAUCAAGAGAAAUCUGCACUUCUUGCUUUCCGCAGCUCCUACUUCAAGCUCCCUCAAAUACCUUCUGCAAUUCGAACAGCAAGGAACUCCCUCAAGUCUCUCUCGGAUUCACAUCUCCGACCGGUUUCUCCCAUUACUGGUCGCAGCUUCCACAGCUAACAACCAUCAAGAAAACCUAACUCCUCCUAUCAAGUCGGUUUAUCGAGAGAAGGGAAGGUAAAUAAAAGAAAUGAGAAAGAGGGAGAUAGAAGCUCUGAUACGCUAAUGUUUGACAGGUUGAGGAUGCUGCGUUACCCGUGAUACAAUCACUCAAAAUGCAUUUAAAGCCCCUCAAAUUGCUGGAAACUGCAUUGCAUCGCAGCAGUCUCGCAAUCAGUCCCUGCAGGUUCGUAAUUUAGUCUUUGCAGGUUCGCACUUUAGUCCCUGCACCUACCCUCAGCCUGCCAAGCAGCAAAUUGAGGCCUUUUUUUGCGCCAUUUUAGUUCGCUCCGGCAAUUCACCCAAACACUUUCAAAACAUAUCCAAGGGACCUUACACAAGCUUCCAAUUUAAUCUCGAAGCAACGUCACUUUCAUUUUGGAUCAUGAUACUCAGUAAACAAAAUCAAUCAAUAUGACCGGUUACAGCCUGGCAGCACACUUGAAGUUUCUUUUUGCACGUAACUCACUUCGUACUGAACACUUCGAACCCUUUGACAACAUACAUUUGCCUUUCCAAGCCUCACAAUCAUUCGGAGAUACCACAAAUUAUCCUCACGCCUUAACUUUGAUUUACUUCAUCAAAGUUAAAUGCUAUAAUUCCGAACUCGCUUUUUUUCUUUUCGUUUCGGUGGCGCCAUUUGCGCUCGAAACACUCAUUAUCUCCGAAUUCAUUCCACGCAUCUAAAAUCACUAUGGGAAAAGAUCAAAACUAGCUCAAGCCUCAUACUUUGAUCCCCUCGAUCAAGUUAGCAUCGCACUCAAGGUUUCCCAUAUAUUAACACUCUCAAUCUCCCUCACACUCACUCAUUUCACUCUUUCACUCUUCAUUGCUCUCUCCCCCUUGCCUCUCUAUCUCUCUAAGAAAAAGAAAGGAAAAGAAGAAGAACAAGCAAAGAGAGGAAGGAUAAAGAAGAGGAUAGAAAAGAAGGAUAAGAAAAGGAGAUCAAAGGAAGGCUUUGCGCACCUUCCAUCUCCCUCUCCUCUUCUCUCUGUGUGUAGCAUCACUGGAGGUAGCUCUUGAUGGGCUAGCUUCUAAACUUUGGAGUUUUGGAUUUUUAUGCUUUGGAAUGGGUCAAAUGGACCCUUAAUGAGCUUCUAAAUAGAUCAAGAAUCCUAAGAAAUCUAGGAUUUAUUGGGUGGUUUGCAUAUAGGUGCAAAUCUAGGGCUCGCCAAAGGGGCUUUUGUGAAUAUAUUAUAAAGAUUGAGUUCAUUUGAACCCUUGGAAACCUCUAUUGUUAGGUUCACAAACAUGGGGGCGAAGUCGUUUGGCAUUCGCGAACUGGCGUGAAGUUUCUCGCAAAACUAGGGGCCGGGCUAGGCAUUGAUUGGCAAAGGAAGGCUAAAGCCUUUCGUAAAGUUGCCGAGAAGAAUAUCCAAGCUCUACAUCGAUUAAGUAGGGAGUGCACAUCUCAAAGUUUCGACCUCCUUUACAUGUCUUAGAAUUGCAUUUAAUCUCAUCUCUUCAUGUCAUUGUAGGAAUUGCAGUAGUACCGUCCUUCCUUAUAUUUCUAAUAUAACCUAGUUAGCUUGUAAAUGCUCGGGUAACCUCUAAUAAUGAGGAUUGGGGGUCGAACUGGAUCUCUAUGAUGCGAAAGAUGAGAUGAACGCCAUGGGGGUGUUGCAUGACAUAGAAAGUUUGUUAAUGUUAAAGACCAAACGAUGCUAUCUCAAACAUUGAAUGAUGACGAGUUGUAUUAUUAAAUGUGUUAUAUGACACUAGAGUUUGAGACUAGAGAGGUGGAUCCUAGAAAAAUGCCUAGUGAACAAUGAAUUUAGACAAACUAUAAUAGCAUUGCAUGAAUGCCUGGGGAACAAAUGAUCCGCGCCAGAGAUGUUACUCUAUUAUAGAGGGCAUCCUCCACUUGGAGAGGAUUUUGAUUGGUUGUGAUCCGCUAGACAUAGUGCCUCACUUGAGAAGGAUAUGGAUUGGGUUGUUGAAUUAGUGGAUAGUGUUAUCCUCACUUGUGAGAGGCAUAGAUCUAGGCUCACAGGUCUGCGUUUGGGAAUGGUAAUAGCCAUCCAAUCCCCAUGAGGGAUUGUCGUCGAGUAUCCCGAGUGUCGCGCUGACUAGGGACCCACUUUGGAGUCCGGACACACAUGAGGCCGCAGACGGUCCGCUGGGCUUGGUUGGCAUCUUGAGCUCGCCUCCCACUUUGGGAAUUGAAGUGUGAUCAUAGGCGAGGCCGCUAGGACCGCUCGGCCACAGAUUGGGUAAUGGAGAGUUAAAGGUUUAACAUUGUCAUUGACACAUUCUACUUAUUCGAAACAUAGAUGCGCAGAUUUGUUAGUGCAUGGUACAAAUCUUCUAUUCAUAUAAUGCAUGCUUCAUAUUCAAUCGAUUAAUGGGCAUAUAGUACUAUGUUUUCCCCUACUAUUGCACUUUAUCAGUUUUUUAGAUACAUAUCUAUCUAUCUAUCUGUUGUUAGCUUGUGGCCGGACUUGGACGCUACGUGGGGAGAUCGUGCCGCGUCGGCGAACCGAGCCCCAAUGGGAACUAUGGAAGAUAGUUUCUCACCCACACUCUUAUUUCCAGUGGAGGUAAGGAUUAGCCGAGGUGAGGACCGCGGCAAGGGCAUCCGCAGCGCCGAUCAGUGAGACCCGUCGUAGUUGUAGCUUUUCCUUUUGGCAGUUAGUUCACUAUGUAUUUGAGUAGAUUUCUAUUGAGGUGAUGGACUUGGGGCUUAUAUUUUUGAGAUGGAAAAUGUAUUCCAUUUGCAAGAAAAUGUGUAAAUGAAAACUACUGUAAAAGUUAGUAAAGUAUUCUCUUUUCAUUUCACAUGUAGCAUCUUGUGGAUCACUUGCUUUUGUAUUUGUCGCAUUGUUUGCGCCUCCUUGUGAUGGUACGUUUAGAAUUUGAGUUCUUGGAGAAUUUGAGUUCUUGGUAAAUCGUUGUACCCACAUUCUUGUUUGUUGAGCCUUAGGGCGGACAGGGAUCGUGCUGUCCGUUCGACAGUACCGCGCUUGCGCGCCGAACCGUGCCAAAUCUGGUAAGUGGGUUUCGGGGCGGGGCGUGAGUAGUUAAUUCGUUGUAUCGAGCAUAAGCAAGUAAAGAGAGAAAGUCUGAGAUGAACCUCGGAACCCUAGGUUGAUAAGCCUAAGGUUAUAGUGCGUGAGCAGACGUGAACCUAUACGAUGGCGAAUUAAUUCGACUUUGCUUCAAGGUUGGGUAAAAUUGAUGGUUCUAUUGUGAUUAGCGACGGUACUCAAGUUGUAGAUUCUGCUUGAGGUAGUGUGUGUCGGCGCCGACGACAAUGAUACAAGAGCCUAGAAAAGUGGCACUUGUGUCUUUCCGCCCGAUUCCUGUGGUAAAGUCGUCAUGUUCGUAAUUCGACGAGUAAUGGGUUAAGAAGAACUGACCAAAUUGUAUUGCGUUUCCGGGACUGAUGUCUCCAAGACGCUACACACGUAGACUGCCCAAGCACCGAUUCCUCGAGGUGCCUCCAGCAGGAGUGAACCGAUGCGUAAUCAUCGGUUGGCAGCGCAGGUGACCGGCUGGAAAUCAAUGUGUGCCCGCCGAAGAGACCCGAUUCGAGUUGCUCUAGGAUCUUUUGGCAGGGCGGCAGAUACGGCUGCACUGGCGACGGUGCCAUGAAGGUGGUGGUCCGCCCGCACACCGUCGACUCAUAAAUACGGAGCAGAGGUGAGGCAUGAGCGCCGUUCCGGUGAUGCCAACCCACACCGCCAACGAUCCGUACCACAGGUCGCAUCGGGAUCAGGGCUAACCCGAUGUGUCGCCCGAAGACGUGAGGGAGAGUGCGCAUUACGGCUUCUUAUUCAAGUUCAACAAGUUCCAUCGCCCAACUUUCGAGGCGAGAAGUGGAACGGAGAUGGUUGAGUCUUGGAUCGAACUCGAUGGAGACCCUUUCGAUGACUUGCUGUACCUUGGAGAGGGACAAGGUGUAUUUCGCCACGCACUGCUUGUAGACGCCGGCGAGUUUGUGGAGUGAAUCAGACGGAAUUCGGCUUCCCGCUUUCGCCAAUUGCUCGUGGUGAGAAUUCAAAGCGGGAGAUGUUCGCCAACGUAUUCCCCGAUACGUUGAAGCGGUAAGCUCAAGGAGAAGUUCCGCACGCGUAGAGCAAGGAGACCGCUCAGUGGGCGGAGUACGCAACAAGAAAAUUCUCCAAUAUAUCGAUUGCGUCCGGGAUUUGUAAAGGAUGACCGGACCGGCCGAGUGGUUCUUCGCGAGACUUCGGCCGGGCAAAUCUAAAGGCCGUGCAAAUACACAAGCUCACUGACUUUGGCGGAGGUCUUGAUGCGAGCUAUGGGCGGAGCACGAAGAUGCGCACGUUUCGGCGAGAAGCGUGAGCUAUUGUCGGAGUCCAAGGAUAAUGGCAAGAAAUGCCAAGGUGCGGUAGUUCGGGGACAAACACGUUACAAGAACCCGCGAAGUACCCGCGACUCACAGAGAAGACGGUAGAGCGCGCGAUGAUCGUAUACGGCGAGGACCGCCCGGUCCUCGCGCUGUGAGGCAAGGCCGGAGGCAAGUGCACAAAUGUGGCAAAACCGGGGCAACUUCAUUCGGGACUGCCCACGGUGAGGAGAGAGCCUCGCCUGCCCAGGCGAUUGCAUCGUGCGUGGGCGAUCCCGCACAUCUAUGGAGGAGCUCCAACCCGACGACCGCGCCGACUGGACGCGCGAUGAUGCGCGUCAAACUGUAUUAAGCGACGGCGAUGCGGCCCCGACCGACGGGUGUUCGCCGCUCAGUCCAAGCUGAUGAAACCUGCGGAGCGAAGAGCAUCGCCUUGUGGCAGGUUAUGGUUUAAUUAACGGAGUCGCUUCAGGGCCUUUAUUUGUACAGGAGCUCGCGCAUUCAUUCAUAAGUAGAUCAUUUCGCACGCAUGGCAUGACAAUACUCAUAGAGGCUGAGUGACAAUGGCGAGGGAGGGCCCUGGGUCGACGUUAACGCACUACUCGGAUGUGCGUCGUGUUCAUAGCAAAUAGGGUGACUGGACUCAUGCCUAUCCGGAACACUGGAACUCACUAAAGCUGAGGCUUUGAGGUCUAUUCUGGUCAUGGACUGCUCUCGAAAUAUCACGCAAUCGAUCGACUGCAAGAGCAAGUGAUCCACGUCUGCGAGCCAGGACUAAGAGGAAUUCCAUAAUCACAGGCUGUCAAGCUGCGUGCUUCGUCGCGACGGUGUCGCGACGAGAGCGAGGAAAUUGGUCAUACAGCGGUUGCACGACUUUUUGCAACUUUGUAGAAGUGGACACGAGUAGCUCCAACAAUUUAGAUGGAGUUUAUCGUGUGCGGGAGUUCCUGGAUGUGCUUUCCUACGGAUCUGCCGGGGAUACCACCGAUCGGGAGAUGCGAGUCCAUUCAUAGAACUUGUUCCCGAUACCGCACCGAUCUCAAAGGCUCUCGUACCGAAUGCCGCAGACCGGAAUGAACGGAGUUUUUGAAAUGAUCAAGCUGCAGACCUCCUGCGACAAGCAAUGUAUCCGGCCAAGUUGUAUCACCUUGUGGGGAGCCCCGGUAUUGUUUUGUAAGGAAGCAGGAUGGAUCGUUUCGAACUCUUGCGUGGAUUUAUCGAAGAAUAAACAGAGUCACGAUCAAAGACACAAGUACCCGCUAACUCCGAAUUUGAUGAUCUGUUCGAAUCAGAUUGCAUAGGGUCCAUAGCGUGUACCAAAAUAGACUUGGCAAUCCUGGCUAUCACAGUCUAAAGUAAGCCGGAGGAGUGCAGAACCAAACUGGCGUUCUGUAAGGCGGUAUGAGACAUUACGAAUUCAUGGUCUAUGCCAUUUUGACUCGAUGCUCCAGCGGCAUUUAUGGAUUUAAUGAACCGUGUCUCUAAGGGAGUCAUUUUGAUUCGAUUGUCGUCGUCUUCAUAGGAUGACAUCAUUGCGUACUAUUCUUGUAGUGACAGGAACAUGCCGAGCAUUUUGAGAUAGUGUUCAUGUGCCUUCGUGAGAGAAGCUAUAUGCUAACCGAAGAAUGUAGACUCUGGCUUUCGCGAGGUCGCCUUCUAGGGGCUGUGAUCCCAGCGGCGUAGCAGUUCUGUAGCACUCGAGGAACAAUUGAGGGCAAUAUAGAUUGGCCACGCCCCGACGAAUUCACCGGAGUUCGACACGCUCGUGGCUUGGUGUGGCUAAUUUAUAGGCGGUUCGUUGAAGGCUUUCCAAGUGAUUCCACUUACCCGCCUGACUCAGAGGCACCAUAGUUGUGUGAGCGAAGAAGUGCGACCGGAGCUUCAAAGAGUUGAAAGCAAAGAUUGACUUCGACUUCGCGGUGCUCAGCUCUAUCCGGUGACGCAGGGCGACAGAGCUUCGUAGUCUACAGUGUAUGCCUCCUAUCUUGGAUUGGGGCGUGUGUUAAGCAAAACGGGAGCGGUGAUGCGCUUUCAUGCAUCUCGUCAGCGUGAAGAUGGCUAUGAAAAGAACUACUCCAUCACGAUUUGGAGCUUAGCUGACGGUGAUUUUCCCUUGAUAGCUGUGGAGGCACUACUUAAUAUGGUGACCAUGUGUGAGAUCUAUACCUGAGCGCACAAGAGCUUGAAAGUAUCUGCUUCACACAGAAGGAGGCUCAACAUCGGCGUCAGCCGGGCGGUGGUUGGAGCUGUAAAGGAUUAUGACGUUUGAUCAUCCUCUCCCACCCGGAAGGCAAUGUGGUCGCGGACGGCACUAGUAGGAAGUCGGCGAAGAACCUCGCAUCCUUUGAUAUUACCCAGCAAACUACCGCCUAUGGCUGAAUAUGGAUCGAUUGGACCUUGAAGUGUCGUCUAGGUUGAGGUCACUCACUUGAUGGCCUCGUUGUCCAAGCCGACCUUGUCUGAGAGGAUCAAAGAUUGCAACCCGCAGACCCACGAACUCCAAAAGGUAUUGGCGAAAACAUCAAGGAGAGGGGCAUGGCGGCGCUUUCAAGGUAGACGCUUGAGGGUCAGCUUCGGUUUUUGAACGCCGACUGUGUGUGCCGAAAGAUGGAGAACUUCGUGAAUUGAUUCACAAGAAGCAACACUGCUUCCAUAUCGAUCACUACCGGGCGGCACCAAGAUGUAUCAAGGACUGAGAUCACUACUGGUGCGCCGGAAAUGACAAAGGUGACAUUGGACGCUUUGUGGCAAAGUGCUAACAUGCCAACAAUGAAGGCCUGAGCGUCGAUUUUCAGCGGAAAAGCGUGAAGCCUACCAACCCCGUUUGAAAGUGGGAAGACAUAUCGAUGGACUUCAUGUCGGCUUGCCUCGGCUUAAGUUAGCACAGGUAUAUCUUCUUGAACGAGAUAGUGAGACUACAUUGGUGGUGAACGAAAUCGAUCGUGUCGAUCGUGACCCCCGUUCAACUGUCACACUUCUAGAAGAGCCUGCCAAAGACCUUGCAACUCGCUCGACUUUUAGACCGCAUUUCAUCACUCAGACACGAAUAGGGCAAACAGAGAGAAUCUAUUCAAACUCGGAGGACAGUUUUGCGAGCGGUGUGUCAUUGACUAUGAAGGGAAGUUGGUGUGAUCACCUACCUAUGGCCAAGUUCGCCUAAACAACAGUUUAUCAGCUAAUGUGAGAUGGCACGUUCGAGGCUCUUAUGGGCGGACGUGUCGAUCCCUAUAUCACUGGAGCGAUGUGGGUGAGUGUAUCAAGAGUUCGGCCCCGAUGUCUUGGCGAGAAGCGGUAGGAGAAAAAGUCAGGCCUUGCCUUGCAAGAGAUUGCUCCACUGCGCAGUCGAGACAGCUAAAAGCUAUGCCAUAUGGCGCCGGUCGAGAUAAUAGAGUUUCGCGGUGGGUGACCGCGAUAUUCUUAAAGUUUCGCCGAUAAGCGGGCGUGAAGGGCUGUUUGGAGUGCGGAAAAAAUUGAAGUCCCGGUAUAAUUGGCCAUAACCGAAAUAUUGGAGCGAGUCAGCAACGGUGGCCUACCAACUCGCUUUGUUGGCUCGCCGAAGCUUGCGGAUGUGGCAUAAUGUGUUGUCCAUUCCAAUCUCCGGAAGUAUAACUUCAGCGACCCACGAGAUGCAUGCUAUAUAAUCCCCAGAUUUCAAGGAACUGAGCUACGAAGAGUUUUCCGUAGGGAUUAUGCCGAGGAGUGCGCAAAGUGAGGAAUCGAGAAAUUCCCUAAUGUGCAAGUUAGUGAGUAACUCACGAGGUAUUACGAGCACCUAGGAAGCUCGAGGAUCUGAUGAGAAAACACUAUCCUUCAUCUAUUUGAGGAGUAAAGGGUAUGGAUUUAAAUUAAAGUAAAGAAUUGAGUUAGUUUCGAUGACCGAAUCUCCUUUAAGGGAGGGAGGAUGUAAGGAAAGCGAUUCUCCGAAAUCUCGAGGAUUGUACUUCAUCCAAGAUCGACAAUUUUAGAGAGAAUACCCUUUGUGGAGCUAAAAAUGUCCAAAUACAAAAAAGUGAUUUGGCAGUUUGAUCCCACGAGAGCGAAUGAUCAAACCAGCAUCGUUGUACUGAUGUUGCUGCUCGGGACCGGUCCCUGGAGGAGAGACCGGUUCCUUGGCUGGGUGUAGCGGGAUUGCUUGAUUGCCAACCGGUCCUGCAGGGAGGGACGCUGAUUCUCACGAACGUUGGGUCCCCCCGCCAUCGAGAACCACCUGCCAAAAUUUGGCUAAGUCAUUGAAAAAUCGACGCCUCUCGCGGGACCGGUCUUUCAGGCGGCGACGCGGUCUCCCGAGGACCAGUCUCCCGGGAGAGACCGUUCNNNNNNNNNNNNNNNNNNNNNNNNNCUCUAUCCAUCGUGCGAUGGGCGAAGCAAAUAAAGUAAAUCUUUAUUUGAAUCGACCUUUACACUUAUAUAUGUAUAUGUAUAUGUACAUGCAUAUAUGUAUAUGCAUAUGCAUAUGUAUAUGUAUAUGUAUAUGUAUAUAUGUAUAUGUAUAUGUAUGUAUAGAUGUAUAUGUAUAUGUAUAUGUGUCAGAGCCUGCGACCCGCCUCUUCGGUCAGGUUUGGACUGCCAACAGUCGUCGAACGGAUAGAGUCUCCCCUGUCCGCCCAAGGCAACAAACAGUACAAUACAAGAGGUUCCAAAUAGGAACAGUAUUCGUACACUGAUUUCAUAAUGAAAGGUAUCAAACAACAUAAAUACAACCUAUACUAUUACCAGCAUUCACAUUCAUACAUUUACACAUUUGUUUUCUUCCAAAUACAAUCUAAAUUAUUACAAAUUAAUUACAAGUUUGUUUCUCUCCAUUUCCUAUACCCCCUAGGCUAUGUUGACUCGGGGUACUGCUAUCUCUGGUCUCUGGGGUAGGGCGCUACCUACGAAGCUACGCCCUUUCCUCGUGCCGCUGCGCUGCUUAUGUGCGAACCUGUAAUACCCCAAAGCAACGUGGGAUGAGAACUAACUCCAUAGCUCCCAGUGCGUACAACCAUCCAAGGAAAAAGCUCGACCAACAGGUCCAAAGGAGGCAAACAACAUGUUAGUUCAACAAAUAGAUAUAAUAUCAUAAACUAUGCAACUAACAUAAAUCAUGCUUUGCCUCACAAAUGCGAUGUAACAUAUUGCAUCCCCGUAAUUCAUGCCGAGUUCUGUCGAAAUGAGCGGAGCGCGGAGUGGAACGAGUUGGAAUGGGUUCUUAGUGCAUUGGAACCUUGGUGUAAGGUAAAAAGACCCAAGAGAGCAAAAUCUGUGAAAAUGGCUAAGUCCCAAAUUUUGGGCUCUCGGGGUCCGGUCCCUGAAGGAGAGACCGGUCCCUAUAGGUUGGAAAAUUUUCCCUCGGCUGAGUUUUAGAAGUUUUGCUCUCGGGGUCCAGUCCGUGAAGGAGAGAUCGGUCCCCUACGCGUAGCCAGCCCAAAAAGGGUGGAAAAUCGGCUAAGUCCUGAGAGUGAUGCUCUCGGGGACCGGUCUUUGCGGGGAGAGACCGGUCCCCGUAAGCGAAAUGGGCCCCAGCGGCUAAGUCCUGGAAAACCCACUCUCGGGGACCGAUCCCUGCGGGGAGAGACUGGUCCCCGCAUGUGAAAAAUGCCCAGUGAGGGCUGAUGUGAAAAAUGGAAAUGAGAGGGGUUUAAGUGCAAUUGUGUCAUGUGUUGGGUGUAUAAGUGAGAGGGAUGGGUGUUAGGGCUCAUUUCUCUCCCACUCCAAUACCAAACAUCUCCCUCUCUCUCUCUAAAAACCUCUCCUCUCCCUCUCCUUCUCUCUAGAGCUUGUACCAAGGAGGGUUUUUAGAGGAGAAAAGCUUGGAGAAGAAGCUUCUCUAGUUGAAGGCAAGCUUGGGCAAGAGCUUUUGGAGGAAAGCUUUGGAUUAUAAAGGUGAGUUCCAUGUUUUUGAGCUAGGUUUUUGUCAUGCCCCCCGCCCCGAGACCGCUACCAAUUUGGCAUGGUUCGGGCACGGCGGACGGACCGCCGGACGGACAGCACCUCUCCUGCCCGCCCAAGGCUCCAACGACAAGAUUGUGUACCACAAGUUCCCAGGAAACAACUUGAAUACAUACACAAUCACUCAACAAUCACGAGAGCACAAGCAGUGCUUACAAUCACGAGCAAGCUACACAUGUAAAGCAUACAAGUGAUAAAAGAGAGAUGCACUUAUCUAUUACUCAUUUGGCUUUAUACAUUUAUUACAACUUGCAUUCUUCCAAACUUGUUCCACAUAUAUAUAUAUAUACAAUACAAUCCUCUCAAAACCUCACCCUAUACAACAAUCUACUCUCAAAAUAAGUACAGGGUGAUCGAGGAGUGUCCAUCACGUGAGGCCUCAAACCGUGCGCUCCCCCGGUCACAUCACGGGAACCUGGUCACAUCACAGGCGUCCGCCAGAGCCCCUUCCACUUAUCGAUCGGUGGAGGGGAUACUCUGAAGCUCUGCACUCUGACACUCGCUCGGAACGCAAGCGGCUCUCUAACCCACUAGUCUACUUACUGGAACAAUAACUUGUACCAUCAUACUAUCGGUCGGAAGAAUGAUACUCAAGGUACGUACGUAGUAUGACCUAACUCCGUAACUAUCUAGUAUUAACAAGUAAUGACAACGACGAAAGUUAAAAUAUAUAGAUAGAUAGACGUACAGAUAGAAACGGACGAAUCUGGAUCACCCCUCUAGCCGCCUCAGCCGCCGGCUUGGGUGACCCUUGAUAAGCAUCAAGAGUGAGGUGGUACAACGUCCAAGCUCAAGAUCGCGGGGACCACUCCUAGCGCCGUUCCCGCAUCGCGGGAUCGCUGAAAUCAUCUCCAAUGGAAGGAAUACGUAAUCAACNCAUAUUCAUAUGUCGAUUAUCAUAAUAUGUCAACAAUCAUAUAUGCUCUAACAUCUAUGUAUUAUCCUAGUUGUCCAUAUCUAGGAUUAUUGCUUACACAAUCUCAUUUGUAAUUGUCGGAUUCUCUAAUCAAUUUAGAGUUAUCGACCCAUAUUCUGCUUGUAUGAUUCUAACAGGCUCACAUUAUGUUCAUAAUCAUGCAUCAUCGGGUAUUAUCCACAAGAUAUUGACAUGCAUAUUCUAAUGGUAGAUAACAAUGAUUGA
rnacentral:lncRNA from 1 species